rnacentral:misc_RNA from 1 species
GAAAAUGCACUCAACUGAACAAAUCUUUUAGCCAUAAACGUGGAACCAAUUGUGACGCACUUUACCUCUAAAUAUUGAUGGCCACAAAUUGCAUUAACCAGUACCAAGAUGGACCUCCUAUUAAAUUGCCAUUAUGAAUAUGUAAAUAGAUCUUAUACAAAAUGCACAUAUGUUCUUUUUAUUACUAUAGUAUAUACCUUAUUACUAUUAGUCAUU